UGGGUAAUGGAAGUUACACCCUGGAUGUGGGUGGCACUGUCAUGGUUUAUGUCGGUGGCCGCCAAGCCUCAUGCCUUUGCAUUAUGCAUUUGUGAUUGGUUCAUUGUCUAGUGCUUGGAUUGGGGGUGUGAGGGCUACACCUGCCAAGGGGUGGAGCCAGGAUGUGAUGUAAUAGCAGGAAGAAGGAGUGUCUCUCUCUCUUGCUGGUUUCUGCUUUGCUGUUUGCAAGGCAAACCCUGCCUUGGAGCCAACCGAGUAUGGAUGGAAACUGGCAGUAGCUGCUUCCACUAGGGAGGAGUUAGCCAAGCGCUGGGAAAGACAGAAGUUGCCCGCACCAGUCCGCAAUCCUAUCCACAGACUCUGGAAGCAGAACGAACGGCAGGGACCUCUGCCUCCACUUUGGGUGUGGGGACUGAACCCAGAGCCCCGAGCAUGCUAAGCACACCGAAGCUGAGCUGCACCUCCCACCCUUUGUCUUCUUUAUUUGUCCAUCACCAAGUUUGUGGAAGACAACUCCAGUGACUCCUUGAAUCAAAACAAUUGCUGUGACUUUGAAUACUUGGAGACUCAUUUCCUUAUACUGAUAUGUAAAAAGCUGGCUAGGAUAUUUCCUUCUCUCUUCAAUUGGCUCUGAGCAUUGCAAAUAAGGCUAGCCAAGGUGCAAAUGUGCAACAUCUAUAGCCAUCAGACAGUCCUGUUUCCUUGCAUGGUCCUCUCCUCAACAGGAUUGAGCUGGGGAGAUGUUAGAGCAAACAGCUCAGGGAAUGUCAACUGGAUACAAGCCUCAAGAUAGGAGGCUAUUACUCCCCAGGGAACAAGAAUUUGCAUAUCAGAAACCUAAACCAUAGCCCCCCAAAACAAUUCCAGUGCUACCUUAAUUGGGUUAUGUAAAUUGAUCCUUCUGCAUAUCUUUAUCUCUGCAAAUUACAGAGAUGCUAUUCUUGCACCUGGUCAGCCAGCUCAAGUCACUCAGUAAUCCCAGACAUCCUCACUAUCACUCAUCCCUGAGCCACCCCACCUUCUUCACAAGAGAAUAAAUGCUGGGAGAGGCCUGGGACCGAGGCCUUUGUCCACAUGUCCUCGCAAGGAUUGGACUUAGGACCCCUUGGCUGCCCUUAAUGUGGAACAUGUCCUGGUGUCUUUACUCUCGCUGUGGGUUGGAUUGGUGAUGGUAGAUUGGGAUUAACUUGCUAGGAUUCCAAUAAUGUCUCAAUGGAAUUACAAAUGUAACUUUUUGGAUUGUGAGGAAAACUAGAAAGAGGAUUACAAUACUUGGGUAAUUGAACUUGAUAUUUAGGUUUACAAUAAAGUUGUUCUCAUCUUCCAGC